GCUAGUGGCAAUGAGUUGCUCUUUAUAAGUGCCCAGCUCUGGCUCAGAGCUGCUGCCCCAACCAUCAUUUAGCUUGUCCACAUUACUAAGCCCUUGUUUUCUUGAUCACAACAUGAUCAGGCAGUAAACUGGACUGCUCAGGAUGCAUAUGCAGCGAGAAGCCAGGCAUCUCCUAUCACAUGCCCAAAGCAUGGAGAGUCCAGUUGUACAGGUACUGCAUCAGGUCUGCCGCAGGGUCUCCUGCUAAGUGAUUUCUCUUCCGAAGAAACAAAGCAAAACAAAGGAUUUGGGAGCUAGCUUGCUGAGAGUGAAGAAGAGGGUCUGUGAAAUGUGUCCUUGGAUGACCCGGGAAUAAAAAUCUGAUAUUUUUAUUUUCUUUCCUUUCAUUAUCCAGGGUUGAAGCAGUUCCAAAUUUGGCCACCAUCCCUGACCCUAAUGGAAAACCAUUGGAAAGGCAGGAAAAGGAGAUCAGCUGAUGGAGGAAGAGGAAGGAGAAGAGACAGCAGUGGAAGAUUGGAGUGGUGGUUAAGCUGUAUGGAGUCCAGAAGUACAGCACAAAGUCACUCAGCAGGUGUUCUUCAUUACCAGGUCCAUCAAGGGUGCCCAGGGUUGCUUUCUUUUUAGGUUUUGAAUGACCGGACCAACCUUGCUGUGAUUAACACCCUGGACUCCUGGAUAGAGAUAUUGAACCAUGUGGUAUUUAAUUCAUAAUGCUGCAGCUUAUCACUGUAUUCCUCAGCAUUAUGCCUACAUAUCAACCAAUCACUUUUUUUUAAGCAUGGAAAAUUGCAAAAGGAUGAUUUGCCUUGCGGACUGAGACAUCAAAAUAAAACCACUCAUGCAUAAA